AGAGAAUAUCUCUGCCUUCUUCCUCCAAUUUAUGUCUGCAUACGGGUUCAUUUUCUGAUUCUUUUCUCAUGUUUCAAUUCGUUGGAUUUUGGGUUUUCUAGUAUUCUCUCGAUAAUCUCUAAUAAAGUAUUUAUUUUUUUCGAUUGAUUUGGUAAUUCGUUGAUGUUUUUCUGCAUUUUUACAACUAAUUGAUUACAUUGAUUUGAAUUAAUUUUUUUAAUCUUGCCUUCUUUUCCCCUGAUUAAAUUGAAUAGCGAUUUCAUUGUCUUCUUAAAGAAUUCAUUUCCAGG
rnacentral:lncRNA from 1 species